UGGGGCGUCGCCAAGCGGUAAGGCACCGGAUUCUGAUUCCGGCAUUCACAGGUUCGAUCCCUGUCGCCCCUG
rnacentral:tRNA from 1 species